rnacentral:rRNA from 1 species
CCUACGGGAGGCAGCAGUGGGGAAUAUUGCGCAAUGGGCGAAAGCCUGACGCAGCGACGCCGCGUGGGGGAUGAAGGUCUUCGGAUCGUAAACCUCUGUCAGCAGGGAAGAACGGUCACUGUGCUAAUCAGCAGUGAAUUGAUGGUACCUGCAAAGGAAGCACCGGCUAACUCCGUGCCAGCAGCCGCGGUAAUACGGAGGGUGCGAGCGUGAACCGGAAUUACUGGGCGUAAGGCGCUCGUAGACGGUAUGUCAAGUCAAGGGUGAAAUCCCCGCGCUCAACGUGGGAACUGCAUUUGAAACUGGCUAGCUGGAGUGUGGGAGAGGAUGGUGGAAUUCCAGGUGUAGGAGUGAAAUCCGUAGAUAUCUGGAGGAACAUCAGUGGCGAAGGCGACUAUCUGGCACAUAACUGACGCUGAGGAGCGAAAGCGUGGGUAGCAAACAGGAUUAGAUACCCUUGUAGUC